CAACAUCUAAUUAUGCCAAUAAUUUUCUAUUGUCUCAUUGACACUAAUAAUCUAAUAAUAGAAGAAUUUAUAUAAUAACUUAUAAUAGUCUUGUAAGAGGCAUAAUACCAUUUUUUUACCACAAAGAAUUGAUAUAAGUAAUAUGUAGAUAAGCAUCAGCAACAGAAGACCUUUUAAGAAGAUGACCAAGUAUUAUUCUCUAAUGCCAACCUUCCACUUGCUA
rnacentral:lncRNA from 1 species